rnacentral:rRNA from 1 species
AUUGAACGCUGGCGGCAGGCCUAACACAUGCAAGUCGGACGGUAGCACAGAGGAGCUUGCUCCUCGGGUGACGAGUGGCGGACGGGUGAGUAAUGUCUGGGGAUCUGCCCGAUAGAGAGGGAUAACCACUGGAAACGGUGGCUAAUACCGCAUAACGUCGCAAGACCAAAGAGGGGGACCUUCGGGCCUCUCACUAUCGGAUGAACCCAGAUGGGAUUAGCUAGUAGGCGGGGUAACGGCCCACCUAGGCGACGAUCCCUAGCUGGUCUGAGAGGAUGACCAGCCACACUGGAACUGAGACACGGUCCGGACUCCUACGGGAGGCAGCAGUGGGGAAUAUUGCACAAUGGGCGCAAGCCUGAUGCAGCCAUGCCGCGUGUAUGAAGAAGGCCUUCGGGUUGUAAAGUACUUUCAGCGGGGAGGAAGGCGAUGUGGUUAAUAACCGCGUCGAUUGACGUUACCCGCAGAAGAAGCACCGGCUAACUCCGUGCCAGCAGCCGCGGUAA